ensembl:lncRNA
UUAUUCGUCUCUGACCUGACCCGAUUGUAAUUACCUGGGAAUCAGCUGUGUCUUUGGUGGAUGGUCUGUCAUUUAGGGGACUUCUUGAGGUGUCAGCAGACAGCCCUAGGUUAUGACGCCUUUCCGUGUCCUUCAGCAAGUCCCUUGUCCCUUUGGAGCCUCAGAUUCUCACUCUCAGUGAGUCUGGCUGUGGCCACCUCACAGCAAUGCUGUCCUAGAGGAGCCUCCACAGGUGGAGUGCUGGGCUGCGGGCCUGGCACCAGUCACUGUGAGAUGCUGCAGCUGAUGCUGUGCUCGGUUAGUGCUGUCCCUGGAAGCCCCGCCCCAGCAUGGCCAGGGUUUGCAGAUGUCCCAUCACAGGCUCCUUAGUUUCCAAAGUGAAGUCACAGCUGCCCCAAAUCUCUUACAGGACUCCAGCCCCAGAGCACAGGUGGGGGCCCUUCACCCACAUCUGCGUCCUCUGAUCUUUCUGUCUCGUUGCUGAUUCUGUUCUGUGGAACAAUCUGUACUGAGGGUUGGAAGAUGGUGGAGCCUCAACCCAGGGUCCCCACAACUACCCUGAUAGUAUAUAGAACCCAGUUCCAUUCUGCGUGCUGUACUGUUUCCAGAAGCCCAGACUGAAGCACUCAGACCAGAAGCAUCUCUGAGUGUCUCCUAGAUGCUGAGCUGGGUGUGACCAGAUUCGCCCUCCACUGGUCUCCUCCACUGUCUCCACUGAGAGAUGUGUCUCUGAUCAAGGGCUUUCUGCCUGUGAAACAUGAACCAGGCUGCAGCCCAAAGACGUCCAAAAGUCUGAGUCAGUGGGGGCAACUUUGGAUCCAGAGAAGUGGCUGGGGACCCUGGAACCUUGAUUCUUACCUGAGUCUGACAUGAAACUGAGGAGAUGCUGGAGGGGGCUCCCUGUUUCUGCUGCUGUCAGCUCAUCCAGAAGCCACAACCACUGAGAACACUGCUUAGGGUGCAGGUGAGUCUGUUUGAUGUUCCCAGAGGUGCAGAGAAGGAGGACACUGAGUCAGCACAGGCGGGGAGCUAUGACCUAGAGACACAGACAGACAGGAGUGAUGGGGAGGGAACAGGGAGAAGAUGCUGGGGUUGCGAGUCCAAGGGGCUGACAUCUGGUCGGAGCUGCCUGGGUCUCUGAGGUCUGUCCCUGUUUGUGCAGUGAGAGAGGAGCAGAGGAGGAGAGGGGUCGAGGCCAUGGGGACACAGCCAUCCUGAGUGCCAAGCUGGGGCUGGGUGGCCCAGACCUCUUCUAUCUUCUCCAGAGGCCCGAAAGAGGAGCAGCUGCUCACACAGACUCCCCUUACUGGAGAAUCUGCUCCAUCCUGAGCAUCAACUGAAGUCUGAGCUGGACUCUAUAGACAGACUAGAGUCUGAAGUGUGUCAGGGCACCGCCGCUGUAAGUUCACAAGCUCUCUCUCUGCUUGGGGCAUCUGGCAUCUGGCUCAGUGCGUCUUCAUGUCUGCUCUCCCCCAAUUCUGUGUUCACCAUCGCCCAGAGAUUCCAGUCAUCUAGUUUCAGCCCAGAUCUUGCCUGGGGUCAAGGUGAAUGCUUCUGCAUAUAACAUGGAUGCUACUUGCACCUACAGCUGUGUUCAUGUGAUACUCUUCCUGUUGGUUUGGGUUCCAUUGUUUUCCUAGAAUUAGAAAAUAAAAUUGCCCUACAUUCUCUCCUCUCUGUCUCUCUUUCUCUCUCUCUAUAUAUACCUGCACACAUAUAUAUAUAUAACAUAAUAUAUAUAUAGCUUAUAAU